rnacentral:rRNA from 1 species
AGUGAACGCUGGCGGUAGGCCUAACACAUGCAAGUCGAACGGCAGCACAGGAGAGCUUGCUCUCUGGGUGGCGAGUGGCGGACGGGUGAGGAAUACAUCGGAAUCUACUUUUUCGUGGGGGAUAACGUAGGGAAACUUACGCUAAUACCGCAUACGACCUACGGGUGAAAGCAGGGGAUCUUCGGACCUUGCGCGAUUGAAUGAGCCGAUGUCGGAUUAGCUAGUUGGCGGGGUAAAGGCCCACCAAGGCGACGAUCCGUAGCUGGUCUGAGAGGAUGAUCAGCCACACUGGAACUGAGACACGGUCCAGACUCCUACGGAGAGCAGCAGUGGGGAAUAUUGGACAAUGGGCGCAAGCCUGAUUCAGCCCUACCGAGUGGGUGAAGAAGGCCUUCGGGUUGUAAAGCCCUUUUGUUGGGAAAGAAAUCCAGCUGGUUAAUACCCGGUUGGGAUGACGGUACCCAAAGAAUAAGCACCGGCUAACUUCGUGCCAGCCGCCGCCGUAAAAC